rnacentral:tRNA from 1 species
AGGGAUGUAACUCAGUGGUAGAGUGUUUACUUAGCACACAGGAGGGUCUGGGUUCAACCCCCAGCACUUCAA